rnacentral:lncRNA from 1 species
AUGAAUUUAUUGAUUCCAUGAAUGUUAUAUUUAUUUUAAUUUUUUUGUUUCAGACUGGGAGAUAUCGUUUCCGAAGUAAAAAAUACUAAAAUUUUCGACGUCAAUUAAACUGUAUUAUCUUCAGGUAUUUUAUUUUAUCUUAUUUAUUUUAAAUAUUUCCUUCAAUUUUAUUAGGUUCAUAGCUUGUUUUGUAUUUUUUUCCCAUGAAGUUUCUUUUAUAGUAAUUAUCAUUUAACGAUUAUGUUAUAUAGUAGUCGACUGUAUUUCUUAAUCAUUGUAAUUGAUGAUUACAGCAGUGUACUCUAUUUUGGGUAAGUUCUCUCACUUGACCUAUUUAUAGGUUUUUGUUCAAGGGUUUAUAUUGUAAGUUUAUUUUGGUUAUUUAUCUAUAGUAACUUAUAAAUUUUGUAAUAGGUUGUUAGUUCUUGAGUUUCUUUUGUGCAUUCUAGAAGGCACAUUUUUCCUUCCUUCUAAAGUAUAUCUUCAACUAUUGUUCUGUAGAAUUCAAGAAAAUUGCAAGAGGAUAUAAUAACCACUUUGCAUUCACUUCGUUUGGCGUGAAAUAUGACAAAGAACUUUUUAAAAGAUACAGAUGUAUUUAUACAUUUAGGGUUCAGGGGCAAGUGUAUCAUUAUAUAAAUCAACUUAUACCAAAUAAUAAUACACCUUCUUAUAUGCAGUUAUAUUUUUAUGAUAUAGAUAAUGAACUUCAAAAUCGUAUGAAAAUUUCAGAGAACUUUUUUGAAUCUACUUUGACUAUAUUAAUGCAAAUUCUACAAGUAAAUCCUUAUAGUAAAUUUUUUAGGUCUUUAAGUAAUAUCACUAACUUGCAACAUCAUCGAACACAAAUAAGAUGCGAUCCAGGAGUUGAUCAAAUAGUUUUCAAUACUCUUACAACAUCUCAAGUAGCUGCUGUAUGGGUUGAAGAUGAUGAAAAUGCAAAUAUUCGUAUUUGUGAUAUUAUUAUAUAUGGUCAUUCUGGUGAAUUACACAAAGUUCACUAUUACUAUGGUUGUUAUGAUUCUUUGUGGUAUCCUAUAAUCUUUCCAUACGGGGAAUCUGGUUGGCAUGAAGGUAUUGAAAGAUAUAGAAGCCCAUUAUUUUCGCCUCAGCAAUUGCCUGAUUUUGUUGCUUUUCCUAACACAAUGAACUCUGCAACUGAACUUCUUGAAAAAGAGGAUGCAGGUUAGCGGAUACACAUUUUAGUGAAUUUAGUAUCUUUUGCAAUUUGAAUGCUUCAAGUGAAUACUUGAUUAUUUUACUACUAUGUGAUGUAGUGCUUAAUAAAAUGAGGAAACGAUUUAAGGUCUCUUGUCGAGAAUAUUAUUCAUACAAAUUACAAAUCAGGUCUUCUGGUACGUUCGUAUUACUUCAUACUGGUAGAUUGUUCCAACAAUAUGUUGUAGAUAUGUAUGUUAAGAUUGAGACAAUUAGAUUAGAUUGUUUUUGUAAUAACAAAAAAAAACCUGUGCUGAACUUUAUCAAGACAUUGUAGAUAGUGUUAAAAAUGGAGAGACAAGGGGGUAAAAAAUUGGAAGAAAGUUUGUUUUACCACAAUCUUUUACAGGUGGCCCUAAAGAUUUAUUAAAGAGAUAUAUGGAUGCGAUGGCUAUUGCACAACGAUAUGGAAAAUCGGAUAUUUCUUAACUGUAACUUGUAAUCCCAAUUGGCCAGAGAUUAGGCAAAAACUAAGAAACAAUGAUGAUAUUCAGAAUCGACUAUAUUUAAUUGCACGUAUCUUUAGAGCAAAAUUAGAAGAGUUGUUGCUCAUAUAUAUAUGAUUGAAUUCCAGAAAAGAUGUCUCCCUCAUAAACAUCUACCGUUAAUUUUUAACUGUGGUUACAAAAUUUGUUGUGCUGGGGAGGUUGAUAAGGUAGUAUCCUGCGAAAUUCCUGAUAAAGAGAAAUACCCUUAUCUUCAUUCUGUUAUUGUUAAAUACAAUAUGCAUGAUCCUUGUGGAAAUCUCAAUCCUAAGAAUGUAUGUAUGGAAGCAAAUAAAGGUUGUAAAAAUAAAUAUUUGAAGGAUUAUUAUAAUAGCACUGUAUUUGGUAAUGUAGUAUACCCAUUGUAUAUGCGAUGUAAUAAUGGUAUUUCUGUUAAAGUUAGAGGUCAAAUGUUAGACAAUUGUUGGGUUGUACCAUACAAUCCUUAUUUAAGUGCUAAAUUUGACUGUCAUAUUAAUGUCGGAGUAUGCUCUUCUAUUAAAAUCGUUAAAUAUCUCUAUAAGUAUGUUUAUAAAGGUCAUGAUCGUAUUAAUUUUUCUAUUGACACAAUUGAAACAAACAAAGAAAUUGAUGAAAUUUUAGCUUAUCAAUCUGUUAGAUGGAUAUCUCCACCUAAAGUUAUGUGGAGAAUUUUUUCUUUUGAUUUAUCUGAUAUUUAUUCAUCUGUUUAUUCUUUACAACUUCAUAUUGAGGAUCAUCAACAAGUAACAUACGCUGAUGAGGAUGAUUUGUUCACUAUUAUUCAGAAAGACAGUACGAGGAAAACUAUGCUAACUGAAUUUUUUUCGAAUGAAUGAAAUAGAUGAAUUUGCUUGUACAUUAUUGUAUCGAGAUUUUUCAAAACAUUUUGUUCGAAAUAAAAAUAGCAAAGUUUGGACUCCUAGGAAGAAACAUGUUGUUAUAGGACGAAUUGUCACAGCUAACCCUUUUGAAGGAGAUCUAUAUUUUCUUCGUAUUCUUCUUAAUCGUAUUAGAGGACUAAUAUCCUUCCAUCAUUUACGAACUCUGAAUGGCAUAACAGCUCCAACAUAUCGAGAUGCAGCACUUCUACAUGGUUUAUUGAGUGGAGAGAAUCACUGUGAAGAAUGUAUGUCUGAAAUUCUUUUGUAUAAAAUGCCUGUUGCGUUAAAACGUCUCUUUGCUACGCUUCUUACGCUUUGUAAUCCUAGUAAUCCAAUGCUAUUGUGGGAUAAAUUUAAGGUCUAUACGAUUGAUGACUAUGUACAUCAAAAUAUACCUACAAACAUUGCUGAAAUGCGAGCUUUAGAAGACAUUAGUUGUAUUUUGGAAUCAUUGGGUAAAAACAUAAAUGAUUAUGCAAUGGUAUCAUACAAUGUAAAUAUAGAUGAGACUGAAAGGUUGAGAAGAAUGGUUGAAGAGGAGACAACUAAUUUUGAUACUUAAGGAAGACUUGCUUGUGCAGUAACAUUAAAUAAAGAACAACAAUUUGCAUAUGGUACUAUCAUGGAAAAAGUGUGAUCGGAAUCAUAUGGUGCUUUCUUCAUUAAUGGUCUAGGUGAAACUGGCAAAACUUUUUUAUAUAAAGCACUUUUAGCAGGUGUACGGUCACAAAAUUUAAUUGCUUUGGCAACAUCAUCAUCUGGAGUAUCUACAUUUCUUUUACUUGGAGGUCGAACUGUUCAUUCAAGAUUAAGAUUCUUUUGGAAACAGUCAAUGAAAUAUGUUGUUUUGUUAGUAAGCAAUCAACUUUAGGAACUUUGUUGAAAAUGUCUAGGUUAAUUAUUUGGGAUGAAGUACCGAUAGUCAAUCAUUUCGCUGUAGAUAAAAUGUUAACAGAUAUUAUCGAUUGUAAUUUACUUUUCAAUGGAAAAGUUGUAGUUCUUGGAGGAGAUUUUCGUCAAAUUCUACCAGCUGUGCGAAAAGGGAAAAAGCAAGAUAUGAUGAAAGCUAACUUAGUUUUUUCGGACCUGUGGCCUUUAUAUAAGCAUCUACCAUUGAUCGAAAACAUGAGGGCUAAACUGGAUCCCACAUUUUGUGGUUACUUACUAAGAAUUGGAGAUGGAAUAGAGCGAGAACAUAACUGUAAAUGCAUCAAACUUUUAGAAAGUAUAGUUUUACCAUUUGAAGAUGAAAUUACAUCUUUAAAAAAAUUGAUACAUAAUGUUUUUCCGGAUAUAGAAGCAUGUUCUAAGGAUCUCCAUGUAAUGUCAAAUAGAGUUAUUCUUACACCUACUAAUGAAUUUGUUGAUCAUAUUAACAGAAUUCUACUUGAACAAAUGUCGGGUGAAAUUUACACAUACUAUAGUUUUGGUGAAGCAAUUGAUAAGUCGGAACAAAGCUUACAAGAGGAUUUUUUUAAUAGCCUAACUCCAAAUGGUAUUCCUCCUCAUGAAUUGAUGCUUAAGAUAAACUGCCCUGUAAUGUUAUUACGGAAUAUUAAUCCUUCAGAAGGGUUAUGCAAUUGAACAUGUCUUACUUGUUGAAAAUUUGAGAAGAACAUAAUUUUUGCUGAAAUUACAACUGGUGAAUAUUGUGGAAAAUAUGUUUUCUUGCCAAGAAUUCCUUUUUAUACUUCUAAAAAGUGAUCAUAAUUCAAUUCAAUUUAAAAAAACUCAAUUUCCACUUAGGUCAUGUUUUGCAAUGACAAUAAAUGAAGCACAUGGUCAAACACUAGAUUUUGUCGGUUUAUAUCUUCCACAACCAGUGUUUUGUCAUGAUCAACUAUAUGUAGCAUUAUCAAAGGCAAAAAAAGUAAAUCUAUCAAAGUUUUACUUAAACCAAUAAAUAGUGACCAUUUACAUGAUAGAUGUACCACAAAUGUAUAUAAGGAAAUUCUUUCAUUUAUACUCACGUAAGUUUACAACUCUUCAUAUUUUAUUUUUCCUUAGAAUUUCACAUAACCCACGUUGUACGAGAUGCAAUUUUAUCGUAUCGUGAGAAAUUAUCUACAAAAAAUAUUUGAUAUUAAAAAUUUACUCUUUUAUUCAUUUUCCUUCCAUUUAUUAUACUUUUGUACUCAUUGUUUUCAUUAUUAUUGUUUUUUUUAAACUAUUCUCUUUUCUUACGCAUAUGAUCUUGGUUAUACAUAUUUGAAAGACUUUCGGGCUUGAUAAUACCUGUUAUAUUCUCUCAUUAUUACAUUUUUAUAGGUAAAUUUCUUCUCGACUUAACUUUUUAAUUCUUAGAUGGGAAUCUACGUAAAUUCAAAUAUUUUAUUACUCUUGCUGGUAUUUCUUACUUUAUAUGCAGGAACUUUCUAUUGUAGUUUCUGGGUAUUUUUGUUAUAUGAUUAAAUAUGUCUAUGGAAAUCCGAAACUUGCAAGUAAUGUGAGAACACUCAAUCAUGUAAUGCAACGACACUCAUUCAUGUAGCAUAAUUGAUGUAAGUGUUGAGAAAUUGAAGGCAUCGUGAACAUAAUAAGAUAAAAAAAUUCAUUGCAUUCUAGCACUAAUCAUAUUUGAAUACUAUAUUUUGUUGUCAUAUGCAAAACUAAAUAUUUGUUUUAUAAAAGAUUGAACAUUCUCCCUUAUGCACAUCCUUCCAACAAUAAAUUCUAGAAAAUAGCUUGGGCCAAUCACCAAUUAUACAUAUUCUUCAAUAUUACAAGGGGGUUCCCCACAAUAAUUCAUCUUUCAUCAAAUUAAAGAAAGCCAUUUCCUUCGACGCUCUGAGAUAAAGAUCAAAUUCUUUUCUUACAAAAAAUUGUUAAAAAUGGGAUUCAUGUUUGCAAAAAUUUCUCUCUUCUGUUUCUAAUAUUUAGAAUGGAUUAAAUCAAUUAAUUAGAAUGAAACAACUGAUUGAUGGGUCCCGAUUUUUUAGACUAGGGUUAAUGGAUUAGUAAGAAAUGAGAGUUAGCACUCGAUUUCGUUGGUACCAUUCAAUCGAAUCAAAUUCAAUACUAAGGAAGUAAUAACCCUUAAAGAAGCUAGAGCUAGGCAAGCAAAUGGCUUACAUGUUGAGUUCUAUUUACAAGUUUUUUUGGGUCUACAAGAAGCCCAUGUCAGCGAGGAUACCACAAUUAGCAUCUUUUUCUUCCUUUUAUUUAUCUUCACAUUGUUCUCCUUAUUGAUAGAGUUAUCUUCUCCAACCUAUUCAAGCAAAAACCUUUAUGCUAUGUUUUUAGUUCUUUUGAUAUUAUUUUUAUGCAAUUGAUGGAUAAAUCUACUGCUAUUGCUUUUGCAUAGUUGAUUUACAUCAUUAAAAGAAGCCAAAAGUAACAAUAUGGCUAGGAAGAGGUUAGAUCUCUGUUUCUGGUCUCAGUUUCACUUUAGUUACUUUUUCUUUUUGUGUUGAUGUCUUAUUAUUUGAUUGUUGACAUACGAAUUUUGACGCUUUCAUCAUUUUACUCAAAAAAAAAAAAAAAAAACUCUAAUAGUGUCUGAAAUUAUUAGUAAACUGGUAGUGCUUAACCAUAUAUAUAUGCAUAUUAAAUUUGUUAAUGCAAUAGAGUUUUCACAAGCUAUUUUGUUUGGUGGGCUAUUUGUUUAAAGAUUCAUACUUUAUUAUUAAUUUUUUAUAAAGCUUAUUACAGUCUUGUAUAUGAAUGAUUUAUAAAGAUAUCAUUUAUUGGCACCUGGGCUGCAUGUCUACGUUUGAUACGAGUAGAAUCUGCUACUUUUAUUUGGAUCUUGUUAAUGUUGAUUUACGUUGUAGAAUUAGCAAUUUCUUUACUAUUUGGGUUAGCCUAUAAAAAUCCGCCUUUUGUUGCCUGAAUGAUUAAAGAAAGAAAUAUUGGAAUAGAAACGAAGUUAGCUUGUCAAUAGCAGCUAUUAAGGAAUUUUGAAUUCCAGAAAUAGCAACUGGGCAUUUUAGUUACUUAUGUAAUAGAAUUUUAUACCUUAAAAGGUUGUGUACAUGAUCAUGGAAACUGAAGUGACCCAAUGUUUUGUGAAUAACCAAUAAAUAAACAAAUUUGAAUUCAUUGCCUCUCACUUGCUGCAAUUAAUACACAUAAGUGCUUCAUUUGAUGUUUGUGACUGAUAGAUUUUGAAGAAUAUUGUGAUACCAGAGGCUCCCAUGUUUAAACCUGAGCUUCCUCUUUAAGGUUUAUUCUUCCACCAUUGGUUAUUUCAUAAUUUUUGUAUUUUUUUAUUAGAAAGUUCUUAUAAAAGUUAAAGUUUACAAAUCUUUUCAGCAACAUUUCCAAAAUUGUUCCUCGUACUUCUGCUUCUCACUUUCUGUACAUAUAUACAAUAUAUGAUAUCGCCAUUUAUUUACUUUGAUCAUUUUUCUACAUGUUGGAAUAAACCAAUUUGCAUUGGCAAACAUUCCAUUGGCUAUCCAUACGUUGCCACUAAUUCAAUCAUAAAAAGAUGUGGAAAACUUAAAAUGGUUUUUGGUCAUUUCACUUUGUUGUAGCUGUUGUAAGUAAAUCUGCCAUAAGCUAUAUAUUUCGAACAACCCAUUCUUUACAUAUUUCUCCUGUUCUUUCCCUGGUCAUUCCUAAUGCCAGAAAAUGGGGAAGGACCCUUGGAAUUGGAUGUCUAUGACUUUAAACGACCUUGUGUUACCCUUGCCAUGUAUAAUGUUGAUCAGGUUAGUCUUUACACAACUCACCUGCAUAUUGAAUCUUUUCUUAUGCCACUUUUACAGCCUUUUCCCUCAUCAUUUGGAUUUUUGUGAAAAUUUGUUGGCCUAUUCAAGCGUUUGCAAAAUCGUAGAGGCAAUGGCAUUUGUAAACAGUGGUCUCUCCUCUUGAGCAUAAAGAAUACAAUUCUUAAGAAGUAUGAUGGCGGGUAAUUUGUUUAUGAAAAGCUUGGUCAAGCGUUAUAAUAUUAAUAAAAUGAAAUAUAUCUGUAUAAUACCAUUUACAUCAAUAUUUUCACUAUCUCAGGUUCAACCGUUCAAGGAUAUAUUUAAGGAGUUACAUGAAUAGAAGUGGACGAAGCAACUUGAAGAACACUCACUAUGGUUGAUUUUUAUAUCUUUGAUGUAUAUAAUCUUAAUGUGCCCAUUCACAUUGUUUUCUAGACAUAUAUGCUUCCCCUAGGUAUGAGCAUCGGUUGUUCGAUGACAUGGUGGCAUACAUCGUGAAGAGUGAUGGUGGAUAUGUUUGGGCUUGUAAGAAUUAUGUCAAAUAUGUCCAACAUGAUUUACUUACACAAGACGAAUGCAUGUAUAAAUAAAGACAUAAAAAGUAGAUUAAUGUGGCUCUACUCUCUAAUAUGAUUUCCAAUAUCUAAACUAAUUAUGUAAGUCAAUAGU